rnacentral:rRNA from 1 species
UACAGAGGUCUCAAGCGUUGUUCGGAUUCAUUGGGCGUAAAGGGUGCGUAGGCGGCGCGGUAAGUCGGGUGUGAAAUCUCGGGCUUAACUCCGAAACUGCAUUCGAUACUGCCGUGCUUGAGGACUGGAGAGGAGACUGGAAUUUACGGUGUAGCGGUGAAAUGCGUAGAUAUCGUAAGGAAGACCAGUGGCGAAGGCGGGUCUCUGGACAGUUCCUGACGCUGAAGCACGAAGGCCAGGGGAGCAAACGGG